UUCCGGUUGAUCCUGCCGGAGGUCACUGCUAUUGGGGUCCGGCUAAGCCAUGCGAGCGGAGGGCGCGGUCGAAAGAUCGUGGCCCCGCACACGGCUCAGUAACACGUAGUCAACCUACCCUUGGGACGGGGACAACCUCGGGAAACUGAGGCCAAUCCCCGAUAGGCGAGGGACGCUGGGAUGCCUCCUCGCCCAAAGCACCGGCGCCCGAGGAUGGGACUGCGGCCUAUCAGGCUGUUGGUGGUGUUACGGACCACCAAACCUACGACGGGUACGGGCGAUGGGAGUCGGAGCCCGGAGAUGGGGACUGAGACAAGGCCCCAGGCCCUACGGGGCGCAGCAGGCGCGAAAACUCCGCAAUGCGCGCAAGCGUGACGGGGGGACCCCAAGUGCCGUUGGUCUUUCGAUCGACGGUUUUUCGGAAGUCCAAGAAGCUUCCAGAAUAAGGGCUGGGCAAGACUGGUGCCAGCCGCCGCGGUAACACCAGCAGCCCAAGUGGUGGCCACGAUUAUUGGGCCUAAAGCGCUCGUAGCCGGGCCAGCAAGUCCCUUGUGAAAUCGGGCCGCCCAACGGUUCGGCGUGCAAGGGAUACUGUUGGUCUUGAGGCCGGGAGAGGUCGGAGGUACUCCUGGGGUAGCGGUGAAAUGCUCUAAUCCUAGGGGGACCACCAGUGGCGAAGGCGUCCGACCAGAACGGACCUGACGGUGAGGGGCGAAGGCUAGGGGAGCGAACGGGAUUAGAUACCCCGGUAGUCCUAGCUGUAAAGCAUGCGGGCCAGGUGUCUAGCGCUCCUCGAGGGCGCUAGGUGCCGGAGGGAAGCCGUUAAGCCCGCCGCCUGGGAAGUACGGCCGCAAGGCUGAAACUUAAAGAAAUUGGCGGGGG
rnacentral:rRNA from 1 species